rnacentral:rRNA from 1 species
AUUGAACGCUGGCGGCACGCUUUACACAUGCAAGUCGAACGGUAACAGGUUAAGCUGACGAGUGGCGAACGGGUGAGUAAUGCAUCGGAACGUGCCCGGUCGUGGGGGAUAACACUUCGAAAGAAGUGCUAAUACCGCAUACGAUCUGAGGAUGAAAGCGGGGGACCGUAAGGCCUCGCGCGAUCGGAGCGGCCGAUGUCAGAUUAGGUAGUUGGUGGGGUAAAGGCUCACCAAGCCGACGAUCUGUAGCUGGUCUGAGAGGACGACCAGCCACACUGGGACUGGGACACGGCCCAGACUCCUACGGGAGGCAGCAGUGGGGAAUUUUGGACAAUGGGCGCAAGCCUGAUCCAGCAAUGCCGGGUGCAGGAAGAAGGCCUUCGGGUUGUAAACUGCUUUUGUACGGAGCGAAAAGGCUCUCUCUAAUACAGGGGGCUCAUGACGGUACCGUAAGAAUAAGCACCGGCUAACUACGUGCCAGCAGCCGCCGUAA